CUCCGUGUAGGCCGCAGUGAAGCCUGAACUCGAGUAGGGCCCAAGCAAGCCAGGAAGGAGGAGGCAGCCAGUGUGUUCUCUGCAGCAGAAGACCCCUCGCUGCCCUGCUUAACCCAGACCAGCAUUUGCCAGUUGGCAGCUCUUAUUAUUGGGCCACACGGAAGAUUUAUACUUUGGCUGCCCUGCUAGUAAACCUUAAUGAGGAACUGUAUAUUAUAUUGGAAGCAUGUACCAGCAAGGAACAAUCUACAAGGAGGAAGCACUGUGGAACAUUAAAAACAAAUAUCAUAAUGUCAAUAGAUUUGCCUAUUCAUAUCUCAUUCCAGGCUUUACAGGAAUUUUGUCCUAUUGAUUUUAAUGCAAUUUACUUCCACGUGAUUGAGUUUAGUCAGGUUGUCUGUCUGGGAAACAGACUGCAGAAGUUUGUACAUACUUCUUAAGAGCAUAUGAGGCAUAUGCUCUUUAUAUACCUACAGUAUAAAGCCCUAAACAGCUUAGGCCCUGGGUAUUUAAGAGAAUGUCUUCUUUACCAUGAGUCUCACCACCAGUUAAGAUAAUCUGGAGAGGUUCGCCUGCAGUUGCUGCCAACUCGUUUGGCGGUUACUCGGGAACGGGCCUUCUCUGUUGCUGCCCCUGGACUUUGGAAUGUGCUCCCUGUUGAAAUAAGAGCCUCCCCAUCUCUGGCAACUUUUUAAAAGGCACUGAAGACACAUUUAUUCACCCAAGCUUUUAAUUGGAUUUAUGGUUUUAAUUUUUAAUGUUGGUUUUAAAUGAUUUUAAGGUUAAUGAUUUUAAUGUUUAAAUGAUUUUAAUUGUUUUAAUGUUUUAAAUGAUUUUAAUUGAAAACCCUCUAGAGACGCAAGUUUUGGGUGAUAUACUAAUAUGUUAAAUAAUAAAUAUGCCUGGCAAUGAUGCAAAUACACAUAUAGGUAAUGCAGCUUUUUCAAAAUUCUGGUAAUAUCUCUCUUUCAUAGCUUUCUGUUGAGUGCUGCUUUGGGAAUGCAAGUUGAAAAGCAGUCUAUACAUUUUGUAAGAACCUUUUCCAGCCCUACCUGGAGACUACUGGGACUGAAUCUGGGGUGUUCGGCUCCACUGAGUUGCAGCCUUUCCCCAGUGUGGUUGUGCAUUGGCAGAACAGGAAUGGUGUGAAAAGGAACUGAGGGUAAGAAGUCUGGAAAGCAUUGUGUAAAUAAAAAAAGAAAGAAAGAAAAACCAGCAUAGUUAUCUGUGGUAGGAAAAGCUGGUGGUAUGCAGAGUUCCCUGCAAAUGUAGAUGACUCAUAAAUGAUCUGAUACAGUUAGAAAGAGUUUGGCUGAAACAUCCUAGAAUACCUCAUCCAUGCAGUCAGUCAAUUGUUGAUUCAUUACAUCAAUCUGAGCAAAUGACUCCCUCUAGCAACAUACAGUAGUUUCUACAUGCCACAAUACAUUUUAUUUUAUUUAUUUAAAUUACAAUGUUUCUUAGUAGUUUUUGCUAUAGAGGCUCAAGACACAUGGGGGAAAAUUCAGAUCAGAAGAGGAGGACUUGCUCUGCAUCGCCUUCUUCUCAAAGUCGAGACUGGCUGGGAUACAAGUUAAGUUAGGUUUUUUUCCAUUUCCACCCUCUGGAAUGCCUGUCCCAGGAAGAUUUGUAAAGACAUCUCCUCCAUUUUAUCCUUCCACUAGCUUUCCCGCCUAUGAAUGCUGAUGUUCCUGGUGGAAUUUCCUUGCUUUCCUUCCACAUCUUGUGACAGGCAAGCAACAGGAUCAACAGCGUCGCAUUACUGUUUUGUCAUGUUUGCUUUUCAUAUUACCUUUUUUGUAUUUUGUUGUACUUUGAUAUGUUCAAUUUUUUUUUAUUCUUACUGUAACUGAAAUGGAAAAACCUUUCAGUUGGAAAGGCACUGGAACCCAUCAUUUUAUCACUAACCAUUUUGAUGAGUUACAUGUUAUAACUACUAUUUGUCUUGCCCUUUGUUUAUAGCAAUAGCCUCUUAUAAAGAACUAAUGAUUAAACACCUCUAAUUAUCUGUGGGCAGUUUAUUCUGGGAGAGCAGGAUCUUGAUGGGCAGGUGCCACUCCUCAUCUAUGCCCUUUACACAGAGCUGAUGCAUGCAGAAACCAUAGGGAUUGUAACAAUCACCUCAGUAAACCUGGGAGGAAAUUUGGAAUUAGCAACAUUUUUCCCUUUGCAGAUUGUUUCUUCUUUCUGGAUGACAGCAUAUAUUCCUGUUGCUUCUCAAAGUAAAGCUAAUAACAAACGAAGAACUCUGUAGAAUAAGUAAAACUUUUUUAAGCAAUAUAAAUCUUUUAUGGAAGGGUAGUUGGACCUGCUCCCACAGCAUUAAAGCAAGACUGGGAUGAAGAGCUGAAGUGCAAAGGUUUUUUAAAAAACUGAACAGAAUCUUCCACUAAAGCCUGCACAGGAUAUGCUGAAGUUUAUUGGAGCAGCUGGAUUAAGGCUUCAGGUGUGAGUGUCAUCUUAAAGCAGGGACACCACAGAGGAAGGUGCUCUUGUGUUCCAGAAUCUGGUUGUAAAAACAACACAGUAUUAAAAGCUUAGAUUUAACAAGUGUAAA